rnacentral:rRNA from 1 species
CUCAACACACGCAAGUUCGAAACGGUAAGGCCCCUUUUUUCGGGGCGUCACGAGCGGCGAAACGGGCGAGUAAACACGCGAGUCACCCGCUCCAGACUUUCGGGAUAAACAGUUCGGAAAACGAAUUCGCUAAUACCGGAUAUGAGCCGCCGCCGCACGGUCGGCGGUUUCGGAAGUUCCGGCGGUUUCGGGAUCGGGCUCGCGGCCUAUCAGCUUCGUUGGUGAGGUGAUGGCUUACCAAGGCUUCGACGGGUAGCCGGCCUGAGAGGGCGACCGGCCACAUUGGGACUGAGAUACGGCCCAAACUCCUACGGGAGGCAGCAGUGGGGAAUAUUGCACAAUGGACGGAAGUCUGAUGCAGCAACGCCGCGUGCGGGAUGACGGCCUUCGGGUUUGUAAACCGCUUUCAUCCAUGACGAAGCUUUUGUGACGGUAGUGGGUAAAGAAGCACCGGCUAACUACGUGCCAGCAGCCGCGGUGAUACGUAGGGUGCGAGCGUUGUCCGGAUUUAUUGGGCGUAAAGAGCUUGUAGGCGGUUUGUCGCGUCGGGAGUGAAAACUCGGAGCUUAACUUUGAGCUUGCUUUCGAUACGGGCUGACUUGAGGGAGGUAGGGGAGAAUGGAAUUCCUGGUGGAGCGGUGGAAUGCGCAGAUAUCAGGAGGAACACCGGUGGCGAAGGCGGUUCUCUGGACCUUUCCUGACGCUGAGAAGCGAAAGCGUGGGGAGCGAACAGGCUUAGAUACCCUGGUAGUCCACGCCGUAAACGGUGGGUACUAGGUGUGGGGGACAUUCCACGUUCUCCGUGCCGUAGCUAACGCAUUAAGUACCCCGCCUGGGGGAGUACGGCCGCAAGGCUAAAACUCAAAGGAAUUGACGGGGCCCCGCACAAGCGGCGGAGCAUGCGGAUUAAUUCGAUGCAACGCGAAGAACCUUACCUGGGUUUGACAUAUGCCGGGAGCGUUCAGAGAUGGGCGUGCCUUUUUGGUCGGUUUACAGGUGGUGCAUGGCUGUCGUCAGCUCGUGUCGUGAGAUGUUGGGUUAAGUCCCGCAACGAGCGCAACCCUCGUCCAAUGUUGCCAGCGGGUUAUGCCGGGGACUCAUUGGAGACCGCCGGGGUCAACUCGGAGGAAGGUGGGGAUGACGUCAAGUCAUCAUGCCCCUUAUGUCCAGGGCUUCACGCAUGCUACAAUGGCCGGUACAAAAGAGCUGCGAGCCUGUGAGGGUGAGCGAAUCUCGGAAAGCCGGUCUCAGUUCGGAUUGGGGUUCUGCAAACUCGACCCCAUGAAGUCGGAGUCGCUAGUAAUCGCAGAAUCAGCAACGCUGCGGUGAAAUACGUUUCCACGGGGGCUUGUACACACCGCCCGUCAAG